rnacentral:lncRNA from 1 species
CCGGGGAGAUUGUCUCAAGGGCAGGAGGAGGCCUCCCCGGGCAGGUGUGGACGGGGGCCCCGGGCCUACCCCGAAGGGAAGCAUCUCUCACGGUGGCCCUUGUGUCCCCGCAGCCGAGUGGCAGGUGGCGGAGGCCACAGCGCUGGUGCACACGCUGGACGGCUGGUCCGUGGUGCAGACAAUGGUCGUGUCCACCAAAACGCCGGACAGGAAGCUCAUCUUUGGCAAAGGGAACUUUGAGCACCUGACAGGUGGUCGGGGACGCCUGUGAACUGAGCUCUCCGCGGUGC